rnacentral:rRNA from 1 species
UGGGGAAUAUUGGACAAUGGGCGAAAGCCUGAUCCAGCCAUGCCGCGUGUGUGAAGAAGGUCUUCGGAUUGUAAAGCACUUUAAGUUGGGAGGAAGGGUUGUAGAUUAAUACUCUGCAAUUUUGACGUUACCGACAGAAUAAGCACCGGCUAACUCUGUGCCAGCAGCCGCGGUAAUACAGAGGGUGCAAGCGUUAAUCGGAAUUACUGGGCGUAAAGCGCGCGUAGGUGGUUUGUUAAGUUGGAUGUGAAAUCCCCGGGCUCAACCUGGGAACUGCAUUCAAAACUGGCAAGCUAGAGUACGGUAGAGGGUGGUGGAAUUUCCUGUGUAGCGGUGAAAUGCGUAGAUAUAGGAAGGAACACCAGUGGCGAAGGCGACCACCUGGACUGAUACUGACACUGAGGUGCGAAAGCGUGGGGAGCAAACAGGAUUAGAUACCCGGUAGUCCCUGAGCGGGCUGGCAAGGCGCAU